GGGCAUCGAUAGCUGGAAUGCGCGAUGUNCCAAAAGCUGAGGCGCNCAAGGAUAGUCUNCGGCCGAUUAGGUUGUUGUUGAUGUAAUGGAUCAACAAGCCUGCAAUCGGUACGGGUUGUGAGAGCAAGAGCCCGGAGAUGGGUUCUGAGAAAAGAACCCAGGUCCUACGGGACGCAUCAGGCGCGAAAACUUUACAAUGUGCGAAAGCACGAUAAGGGAACUCUGAGUGCCUCCUAUGGAGGCUGUUCAGGUGUCUAAAAAGCACUUGAAGUAAGGGCUGGGUAAGACCGGUGCCAGCCGCCGCGGUAACACCGGCAGCCCAAGUGGUAGCCACGAUUAUUGGGUCUAAAGCGUCCGUAGCCGGCCAGGUAAGUUCUUUGGGAAAUUUAACCGCUCAACGGUUAAGCUUUCAGGGAAUACUGCUUGGCUUGGGACCGGGAGAGGUCAGAGGUACUUCAAGGGUAGGGGUGAAAUCCGUUAAUCCUUGAGGGACCACCAGUAGCGAAGGCGUCUGACCAGACCGGGUCCGACGGUGAGGGACGAAGGCUAGGGUCGCGAACCGGAUUAGAUACCCGGGUAGUCCUAGCUGUAAACGAUGCGGGCCAGGUGUUGGCAUUACUGCGAGUGAUGUCAGUGCCGAAGGGAAGCCGUUAAGCCCGCCAUCUGGGGAGUACGGUCGCAAGGCUGAAACUUAA
rnacentral:rRNA from 1 species